rnacentral:rRNA from 1 species
CGUAAGCGAGCGCAGGCGGUUUCUUAAGUCUGAUGUGAAAGCCCCCGGCUCAACCGGGGAGGGUCAUUGGAAACUGGGAGACUUGAGUGCAGAAGAGGAGAGUGGAAUUCCAUGUGUAGCGGUGAAAUGCGUAGAUAUAUGGAGGAACACCAGUGGCGAAGGCGGCUCUCUGGUCUGUAACUGACGCUGAGGCUCGAAAGCGUGGGGAGCAAACAGGAUUAGAUACCCUGGUAGUCCACGCCGUAAACGAUGAGUGCUAAGUGUUGGAGGGUUUCCGCCCUUCAAUGCUGCACCAAACGCAUUAAGCACUCCCCCUGGGGAGUACGACCGCAAGGUUGAAACUCAAAGGAAUUGACGGGGGCCCGCACAAGCGGUGGAGCAUGUGGUUUAAU